rnacentral:lncRNA from 1 species
AUGUACUGGAUGUUGUCAAACAGAGUAUGGGUAAAGUCAGACCUCUAUGGGUACAAUGAAGAACUGCAGGUCUGCACAUCAUACAAAUUUACAAAAACAAAUGGAAGGAGACACACUGUAACUCUGAACUCAGUUGUGUAUUUCAGAUGCUGUCACACCCUACAACCUUAUCAUCUGCAGAGAGAAACGGACACUCAAACACACCAAAAUACACAUAAUGAUGGACUUACUGGACUUACAGACCUUUUCUGGCACAGCUAAAUGCACCCAAAAUGCUCUGCUUCUGUAAACCGACGUGAUCCCGGAUCUGUGAUCCCAAAGCGUGUGUAAUUUCUCCUCCAUUACAUUUCUCCGCCAGAGAACAGUCCAUGAUUUUACUAAACACAAAACAAGUCAACCUCUGGGAUCCUGAUAAACUCUUCUGCCUGAUUCUAAAAUAGACGCCUGUGGAGGUGAAACAAAUCUAUCAGGCAAUGCAGACAAGCCUCAGUAGUCCUCUGCACAAACAGAGCUGCAAAGCCACUACUGAAAACCCUGUAAAUGCUGUGUAUGUGUGUGAAAGCCAGAAUAAAUCAAGCAUAACUCAAUGUGUGAAAGCCAGAAUAAAUCAAGCAUAACUCAAGCAUAUAUAUGUGUGACCCUGGACCACAAAACCAGUCUUAAGUGUCAUUUUUUCGAAAUUUGGAUUUAUACUUCAUUUGAAAGCUGAAUAAAUAAGCUUUCUGAAACAUUAUAAUAGCAGUCAGUGCUUUCAAGGAAAAAAAAAAAAGUACCAAAAGUCAGAAGUAGCAGUUUAAUUUCUGUAUUAAUCUGCGUAUUAAUGUAAUGAUGUACACUGGAAAAGAAAAAAUUACUAGCAAAUUUAACAAAUAAUUACAAAAACUGAAAAUAACAUUGAUUUAAACAGGACAUAUUUAAGUAAAAAGACUCAAAUAUUGUAAGAGGAAUACCAAUUUUUUAACUCAUUUAUAGUUUUGUACAUUAACAGUACAAAGUGCAUAUAACAGUUGGCUUGCUGGAAGAUUUUUGGUUUAUUUAGAAGGUUGUUAAAUAAGUGCACCAGAAAAAAAUAAAAAAAUACCUUGGUUUGCCAACGUUUGCAUAGUUCAUUACAUAGUGGCUAUUUCAAAGAGUUUUGCAAAGACAAACGUCAAGGUUUGUGUAUAUAUAUGUACACACACACACACACACACACACACACAGACACACAGUAACAACAUAAUCAUUCUGAGUCUUUUUACUAAAAACAAUCAGGGUUUACAUCCUGAAAGCACCACGAGCGCUGCCCAUGUUUCAUCACCUUCUCCUACUCCUUGUCCCUCCUUCUCGUUCUUCCUCUCAGUCUCUCAGUGAGCCUAUGACAAAUUAUGUCAUGUUUAAUCAGUGGCUAAACUCCCAGCGGCUGCUGUUUCUCCACUCACACUCCCGAGAGUGAAUUAAUUCAGCGAAUCAGGUUUUAUUGUCUCCCCGACACCCUCAUUUGUUUGCCUGAUGCCACCUGCUUCCCCUUUUAUUCCCUCUUUUUCAUGAACAUGCUCUGACUCUACUGGCUCUCUCUUCCGUUCAUUUACCAUACCAGCUCACCACACCCUUUCUGCUCACACAGACUCUGCAUGCUCCUUUCCCGUUUCUCCUCCCCCUUGUCCUUUCUCUCUGUCUCUGUCUCUGUCUCUCUCUCUCUCUCUCUCUCUCUCACUGUGUGUGUGGGUGUGGCAAAAUGCAGCAUUGGGUAACUGUAAAGAAACAGAGCCCCGGUCGCCAUGACAACCUGAAGAUGAAAGGAUAAGAUAAGACACUAAGUGCCAAGAUUGCAAUGUAACAUCAUUAUGGCGUGUGUUUGGACAGGAAGUGAGGGAGACAGAGGAGUAAAGGGAACAAAAGACAAAUAUGUUACUUACCUGAUUACUACCUGGUCAGUGAUUGUGAAAAUAAGUUGUGGGUCAUGUGCUCUAGCUCAUAACUGUAGAACAUACCUAUGAAUCGGUAGAUAGAGAACAAAAAAAAUAAAAAAAAUUACAUUAUUCAAUGUUUUAUGGUUUAUUUCACUCUAAACUCAAUUUUUUGGGGAGUCAGGAGAACAAUAACCUUAACCAAACCACUAUUAUUGGAAAUUUUAUUCAAACUGUUUGAGGCUAAAUAUAAUAACAAUUCUGUGCUAAGAUAAUCAUGCAAUGAAAUUAUGAUUUUUUUUUAAAUUGAAAAUGUUCUAAUGACACAGUCUUAAACGGUAAAUGGUAUAUUUCACCGCAGAAAGAAUGUAUUGUGAACAAUAAACCUAUCUUGCAGCACAACUAAUGUUGAGUUCCCUUCACACGAGUAGACCUCGGUAAU